GUGCAGUCUGCGCUUGGGAAUUUGUUGUUGUUUGUUAUAACCCAAAUAUACCUGAAAGGUAAAGCUUAAGAGCAAACUUACCUGGUGUGGGCACUGCAGCGUGAAGAGUUCUCUCACCCAUUGCUCUGUCCUCCUGCGCCUGGAUCCUCGAGAAACGGACUGUUCUUAGAAGCUGAAAGUCCAGCCGGAUUUACAGACAUCCAAGUAAGAGUCUGUGAGAACCGAAAUUGAAAGGACAUGCACUUUGUGGGGAGUUGACUGUUGGGGAUUUUCCUGUUUAUCAAGACAGGAAACUAAAGGAGCUUGAAAGUGCUGGUUCCUCCACACCAGACUCCUGAAACUCAGGUUUGUUGGUGGAAGGGACUUACCAUGUCUCAGAUGAAACUUUGGACUGUGAACUUUUGAGUUAAUACUGCAAUGAGUUAAGACUGGUGAGUGUUCAAUAGCAAAGACUUGGAACCAACCCAAAUGUCCAACAACGAUAGACUGGAUUAAGAAAAUGUGGCACAUAUACACCAUGGAAUAUUAUGCAGCCAUAAAAAAUGAUGAGUUCAUGUCCUUUGUAGGGACAUGGAUGAAACUGGAAACCAUCAUUCUCAGCAAACUAUCGCAAGGACAAAAAACCAAACACCACAUGUUCUCACUCAUAGGUGGGAAUUGAACAAUGAGAAUACAUGGACACAGGAAGGGGAACAUCACUCUCCGGGGACUGUUGUGGGGUCGGGGGAGGGGGGAGGAAUAGCAUUAGGAUAUAUACCUAAUGCUAAAUGACGAGUUAAUGGGUGUAGCACACCAACAUGGCACGUGUAUAUGUAACAAACCUGCACAUUGUGCACAUGUACCCUAAAACUUAAAGUAUAAUAAUAAUAAUAAUAAUAAUAAUAAUAAAAAGACUGGUGAGUGUUAAGAAGGCAUAAUUGUAUUUUUCAAUGUGAAAAGGACAUGAAAUUUGGGAGGGACCAGGGGCAGAAUGGUAUGGUUUGAAUUUGUGUCCCCACCCAUCUCAUGUUAAAUUGGAGGAGAUGCCUGGUGGGAGGUGAUUGGUUCAUGGGGGACAAUUUCCUCCUUGCUAUUCUCAUGACAUUGAAUGGGCACUUAUGAGGUCUGAUGGCUUAAAAGGGUGUGGCACUUCCCCUUUCUCUUUCUCUCUCUCCGCUGUCACCAUGUGAAGAAGGUGCUUGCUUCCCCUUUGCCUUCUGCCAUGAUUGUAAGUUUCUUGAGGCCUCCUAGUCAUGCUUCCUGAUAAGCCCGUAGAACUGUGAAUCAAUUAAACCUCUUUUCUUCAUAAAUUACCCAGGCUCAGGUAGCUCUUUAUAGCAGUGUGGAAUGGACUAAUACAACAAGGUUCUUGAUAGACAACCUACAAAUGUUCUCUAUUGACUAAUCACAUGUAAACUUAUUAUAAUUCAUAGUAUUAUUUGAAUGGAUCUGUUAUUCCUGCAGGAUCGUCAAACCACUGAUCUGUUUUCAGACCAACCCAUCUAUUUACAGAUAUGAGUCUAAUUGGAAACUUCAGUACAUCUUAUAUAUUAUGACAUGCAUAAUCUUGACAUUCAGUUGUUAUCCUUAUUUUUUAUUCAUUAUAUAUUUUAUGAGCCC
rnacentral:antisense_RNA from 1 species